rnacentral:rRNA from 1 species
UACGUAGGGUGCAAGCGUUAAUCGGAAUUACUGGGCGUAAAGCGUGCGCAGGCGGUUUUGUAAGUCGGGGGUGAAAGCUCCGGGCUCAACUCGGAGAGGUCACUCGAUACUGCCAUGACUGGAGUCCGGUAGGGGGGUGUGGAAUUCCCAGUGUAGCGGUGAAAUGCGCAGAUAUUGGGAGGAACACCAAUGGCGAAGGCAGCACCCUGGGCCGGUACUGACGCUGAGGAGCGAAAGCGUGGGGAGCAAACAGG